UGCGUGCAGGAGAGUAUGCGCAUGCGCAUUGCCAUGGUGGUUUAAAAAAUAAAGAUAUAAUGAAAAGUAAUUAAUAAAAAUUAAAUAUUUAAACAUUCCCACAAAUGUGCAAUGAACGUGCAAAAACUCUCUUUAUUAGUUGUUGCUGUUUCUUUCUUUCUUUUUUUUUUUUUUUUGAAAAAUAACGACGUCUCUGAGGCGCGAAUUCCGACAGUGAGAGGAACGGCCGGAUACAGGAGACGGGAAGAAACAAGCCGAUUAUGUUCGCGUUAAUUAGGUGGUUGGAAGAUGUAAAAUUCUCAAUUCUGCCAACUGAACAUAUACGAGAUUUUAAUGAGGAUGAAUAAUCAGCCGGCAUGGAGGAAACGGACCUUUAUUUGGUGGAGUGGCGACAAGAAGCCAAAAGACGGGUGGCCGGUCUAUGAAGCCUCCAUCAUCAAGCUAGCAGCCCAUGAAAUCGAACGCAGAUCUUCCUGAUGUGAGCUUUACAUAAAUAACCAGUGUGUCCCCUAGGCCUGAUAACACUCUUGCCCAGUUGGCUCCUGUAGUAGGCGGGCAUGGAAGGCUGGACAGCCCAUGACGGGUAAGAUCCCACCUCGAAACCCUGGGACAACCUAAGGCAAGGCGCAGUCACGAUUGCUCGAACCUAAGUCCCG
ensembl:lncRNA